rnacentral:tRNA from 1 species
GCCUCCGUAGCUCAGGGGAUAGAGCACUGCUCUCCUAAAGCGGGUGUCGCGCGUUCGAAUCGCGCCGGGGGCA